ensembl:lncRNA
AAAAGAGACAGGAACCAUUCCCAAGUAUUCAUUAUAAUGUAUCUUGUUAAAGAAUAUCUGUCACCAGAAUUCUAAAAUCUUUAUAAACAGUGGUAAAAAUGUGAAAUACUGAUAUUGUAACACCAAUUAAGCCUACCAUUUUUCCCAAUGUAUUCAAUGUUUUAAAGGAGGCUAUUUCUCUUUGCAAUCUUUCCAGGUAGACUCACAGAAAGCCAACCAUUUCAUAGAACUAGAUCUGUGCAACUGAGUGGAGAUCGGGCUGCCCAUGGCUGAGACGUAGGGACCACCCUCCCUCACACAGCAAAGGCAUGCUUGCAGGGACUGCGUGCCAUUCACAUUUGUUUUUCUAGACCCUUACACACAUCUGAACAUUAAAGAUGCCCAAGAAAUCCUCAAUGAAAAGAAAAAGGUGCAGAGACUCAGUGAAUGUAUACGGCUUCUCCUUAGUCUCAAUUUUUCGUGCUUUCUCUCCUUCCGCACUCUCAGCCUCUUUUUAUUCUCCUCCUUUCUUCUUGUGCUAGGAGCUUGGGAGGACCCAUGAUGGUUCCUCCUUCAAGUAGAGUGAAAAAAGGAGGGCUAUAGGCUAUAACUCUUUUCUAUUUAAAAUUCCUUUGGGCUGAAAGAGGAAAGCAGAGGGCAUUAUCACAAACUGUGAAGCACAGACCACCAAUAUCCUUCUGUUGGAGGAGGUCAUGGAGAGGAGGUGACCACUGGCUGACCUGUGAGCAGGAGCUGGGCAAUCAGAGGCUCCUCACUCCUCUCCUGUGCUUGGAAUGUGUGUUUGGCCCACUGUUCCCACAGCUGGAGCCAUUUUCAAGGUGUAGCCUUGAGCUAGUAAGGUGUUGUAGAGGCCACCUGGAUGGCAUUAAGGCCUCUAUAUAAACUUUAUGUUUCUGGCGGUUGGGUGCGUAGAUCUACUCGUCUUGUGACUGCUAAGACAAGCCUUAUAUGGCAGCCUGUUCAGGGAGCCAAGAGCCCCUUUCCAGUGACCUGUAAGAGGGGCCCCUCCUUGUUUGGGACAGCCCCCAGGGAAAGAGACGCUGCCCAACUGAACCAGCUGAUCAUCCUAGAACUAACUGCUCCCCAGACUGCCGUCCCUCCUCGCUGGGGGCCACCUCUCCUGGUCAAGUCAGCUGCUAUGACAGAUGAACACAGACUGGGCAGCUUAAACAACAGACAUUUGUUGCUCACAGGUCCCGAGGCUGGAAGCGUGAAAUUGGGGUGUCUGCAUGGCCGUGUUUUGGUGAGGGCUCUCUUCCUGACUUGUGGAUGGCUGUGUGCUUCCUGGCAUCAUGCUGUGUGCUCAAAGGUCUUCCUCACCGAGUUCACCCCUCCGAUGCUCCUAGCGACUGUGUUACAAACACUGAACUGACACUGCAUGUGUUUUUUUCCCCUAGAGAUUGAGCAAUAAUCCACUUACCACUUCUAAACAGGACACAUGUUAUUGUCACAGAAAGCUGCCCUAAGGGAUGCUGCAGAGCCGCCUAGCUUAAAAUCACCCUAUAUUCUUUCUUUCUGACGUAUGAUUUUUAGCUAUUGUUAUAUAGAUCAUGUUGAUGUAGUAAUUGCAUUUUCUCUGGUUUUUAGAACUCCUUUACAUUUGUUAAAUCAGAAAUCCCUUCCGAACAGAAGUUUUCUGUUGUAUGUGACCAGCAUCUGCAUGAUUCAACUCACAAUGGUGCUUGAGGAAGUCGAUAUUAAUCCAGUGGUUAUCGCUGGGGAGUGGGGAUCAAAUGAGGGGUAGAGAGUUUUAUUUUCUAUUUCAUAAGCUUCUGUGUUGUUCAUUUAUUGUCACCAUAAGCAGAUGUCACAUUUCUAAUAACACAUAAAGGAAAUAUUUUCACAACGUGCACAAACAGUUGCAAAGAGGGUUAAAUUGGUAAAUCCCUCAGUUAUGCAUCCCAGGGAUCAGUCCCUUUCGAGGUACAAUUUAAUGGAAUCGAAGUCUAAUUCAAUUUUUGGACUUGCUUUCUGGGAGUCCUAGUUGCUCUGUGUUAGAAUGAUUGUGAGAUCCCCUGGGAAUUGCUUUCUGAGUACAAAACUUCAGAGAGUGGGAAGGAGCUGUUCCUGCUGCUGAAGGCAUUUGUUACACAUUUUCAGAAAUGAAUUUGAAGACAUUGCAAAGGCGAUAUUCUUUUUGCCAGUGUUUGAAUGAUUUUUAAAUAACAAUCUACUGGAAGUUUUUAAAUUUGGUAUUGCUGUUUAAUAUUAAUGAGCUUCCACAGUGUUAUCUAUCAUUCAUAAUAAAAAAAAAUCUCUCUGUAUAAGGAGAUACAAAGUUAUGCCGCCAUCAGGAUGAUUUUAAGUUAAAGGGAAAAUAAUCCUACCAACCUACAGAAAGACUGUAACCCUGUCUUUGUGUAGAUUUUCUUCCAAGCAUUUUGGUCAAAAUAUUUUUUAAGCUAGCCAUGUAGAUGGGAAGAAUGCAAGUCUUCUGAGAGUCAAUGAAUAUUCUGGAAAAUGUUUCAUUCAAUGAGUACAUUAAUUAGACUCUCUUGAUUCGAGGUGACAGAAACUGAAGUAGCAUAAGUGGAAAAGGUAAUAUAUUUGCUCAUGAAACUAAGUAUGGGGUAGGGGGUAUACAUGAUGAGUUUUAGGUGUGACUUGUUCCAGGGGCUCCAGCAACGUUGUUGGGCCUCUGUCUCUCUCUCUGCUUCUCUUGGCUCUGUUUCACUUAAAUGUUGGCUUCACUCUCAGGCAUGUUUUGACUGUAUGACGGGAAAGAUCACUCCUGGCUAGUGGGUGGGAGUGCCAAACUUGUUCCAAAAGGAAGAGAAAGCCACUCUUUUUCCCACAGUCCAUAUAGCAAAACCCAGGAAAGAUUCUAAUCGAACCUAUUGAAACGACCCCUGCCAGGGAGAUGGAGUUCAUUGGUUGGCCAGGUUGCAUCACCUUCCUGCUAUGAUGGGGGUUUGGGUGGGCCUCAUGGUGAACAACCCCACCAGGACAACGUGGAGUGGAGGAGGGGUUGUUCUAAAAAGAGAAGUCAUUGGAUGGACAAACCACAGUACCCACCAUGGAAAGCCACUUCCCUGGGAUCUGAUAAAUUCAUCAGCACCUAGGGAGACUGCCUAAUGGUAAUUACAUUCAGGCACUUGAUAAUUAAGUUGAUAUUGCAUUCUCUUAACUUUCAGUUCUAGCCUAGUAGUUGUAAAAAAUUACUUAGUUAUAAAUCACUUAGAACUCUUGCCACUUUUGUUCAACACAGUGUUGGAAGUCCUAGCCAGAAGCAAUUAGGCAAGAAAAAUAAAUAAAAGACAUCCAAAUCGGAAAGAAAGAAGUAAAACUGUCACUAUUUGCAGAUGACAUAUUAUAUACAGAAAACCCUAAAGACUCUCUCAAAAAACUGUUAGAACUAGUAAACAAAUUCAGUAAAGUUGUAGGAUACAAAAUCAAUAUGCAAAAACCUGUUGUAUUUCUAUACACUAAUAACAAACAAUAUAUCAGAGAAAUAAAGAAAACAAUCCCAUUGACAAUUUCAUCAAAAAGAAUAAGAUACCUAGGAAUAAAUUUAACUAAUGCAGUGAAAGAUCUGUAUAUUAAAAACUAUAAGGCAUUAGUGAAAGAAAUUGGAGAAAAAU